rnacentral:lncRNA from 1 species
AGUUUGUCCGGGUAGAUGUAGAUCCGAGCAGGGAGGCGGCUGCGGCCAGUGACAAAGCGUAGGAAGCGGCUCCGGUCCUCUGGGUGGAGAAGAAAAUUAAGGCUUGCACGGAUGAAGGAGGUUCUGUAAGUUCCCGCCCGCCUCUUCAAUCCACAAGCCACAUCCCAAGGUCAGUAAGUCCAGCACAGCCUGCGGUACCACCUUCAGCAGACCUGCCUGCAUGGCUGCCACCUAGGGAGGAGGAAGAAGCCUGCCUGGGAAAGUUGGUCACUACUUUCAGCGUACACUGGGGCAUCUCUGUACUCGCCGACCAACAGGAAUGAGGGGCGCAGUCGUGGAAGCCAGCAUCAGGGUGGAUACUGGUCGCCUACCAGUGGGCUCUGGCUGUCAAGGGAAGGGCCCGCCGCCCCCGUUCUCCUACCUGCUCCUUGCUCUCCUCUAGCCGCGCCUUCCGCACCAGCUGGAUGAAACGGGAGCGGUCCUCAUAUUCCACCACGAUGCCCGUGCCCCCAGGAAUCAGCUCCACGACCUGUUGGUCACUCAGGACGGUGGUGAAUGUCAGCUCCUUCCCAAACUUG